rnacentral:rRNA from 1 species
AUGUGUUCAUUCACUGUUCCUCCGGUCGUGCUGCAGCUGUUCGUGCUGCUCUUCUUGGCCUCUCCCGCCACCGCAUGCACCGAGCAGGAGAAGCACAACCUCCUACGGUUCCUCGACGGGCUUUCGUGUGAUGGUGGCCUCGCCACAUCGUGGCAUAACAACGGCACGGACUGCUGCGAGUGGGAAGGCAUCUCCUGCAAUGGAGAUGGGGCCGUCACCGGGGUCUCCCUGGAGUCUAAAGGACUUGAAGGGCCCAUCUCGCUGUUCCUCACCAAUCUCACCAGCCUGCUGCGCGUCAACCUCUCGCACAACUCGUUCUCCGGUGGUCUUCCGGCGGAGCUCAUGUUCUCCGGAAGCAUCAUCGUCCUCGAUGUCAGCUUCAACCGGCUCAACGGACCGCUGCCCGAGCUUCCGCCUUUGAUUACCACCAACCGGCCUCUGCAAGUACUCAACACCUCAAGCAACCAGUUCAGCUCACAAUUUCCAUCAGCCACAUGGAAGGUGAUGAACAGUCUGAUUGCACUCAACGCCAGCAAUAACAGCUUCAGUGGGAACAUACCAUCUUCUCUCUGCCUUGGGUCACCAUAUUUAGCAUUGCUUGACCUCUGUUACAACCAACUGAGCGGUGACAUACCAAACACGUUGGGUGAUUGUUCCAAGCUCAAAGUGCUCAAGGCUGGCAACAAAAACCUAAGUGGGAUUCUCCCUGUUGAAACCUUCCGCGUUACCUCACUGGAGUACCUCUCCUUCCCCAACAAUGGUUUACAAGGAGAACUUGAUGGAGCACAUAUUGUCAAAGUCAGUAAUCUAGCUACUCUUGACCUUGGAGGGAAUCACUUCAGUGGCAAGAUUCCGGAGUCCAUAGCUCUGCUCAAGAGGCUCGAGGAGCUGCAUUUAGGUAGCAAUAACAUGUCUGGGGAGCUGCCAUCAACUCUGGGCAACUGUACAAAUCUCAAAACCAUCGAUCUGAAGAUCAACAACUUCAGUGGAGAUCUAGGCAAGGUAAACUUCUCCGCCCUGCAGAAUCUAAGAAGUUUAGAUCUCAUGAUGAAUAAUUUCAGUGGCAUCAUUCCAGAAAGCAUUUACUCAUGCAGCAAUUUGGCUGCACUGCGGCUGUCGGCCAACCAUUUCCAUGGUGAGAUCUCACCGAGAAUAGGCAAUCUGAAGCACCUGUCCUUCCUAUCACUUGUUAGAAACUCCUUCACAAACAUCACAAAAUCUUUGCAUGCCCUUAAGAGCUGCAGGAACAUCAGCACUCUGUUUAUUGGCACAAACUUCAUGAAUGAGGCCAUGCCACAAGAUGAAACCAUUGACGGUUUUCAGAAUCUUCAGUUUCUGUCCAUGCAACAAUGUUCGUUUACUGGAAGGAUACCUACUUGGUUAUCAAAGCUUACAAGUCUGAAGAUACUAGUGUUAUCUAAUAAUCAACUCACCGGACCAAUGCCAAGCUGGAACAACUCCAUAAACCACCUCUUCCAUCUGGACGUAUCAAACAACAGUCUUUCUGGGGAAAUCCCAAUCGCCUUGAUGGAGAUGGCAAUGCUAAAAUCAGACAAGCCUGCCAUCUAUUUGGACCCAAACCUCCCUGAUCUACCAAUAUAUAUGAAUCCAUCACUUCAAUACCGCAUGGGCAGUUCUUGGCCUAAAGUGCUGAAUCUCGGUAAAAAUAAAUUCACAGGUGUGAUCCCACAAGAGAUUGGUCAUCUGAAAGCACUCCUUUACCUGAACUUGAGUUUCAACAACUUUUAUGGAGAGAUCCCACAAUCAAUCUGCAACCUCAGGAACCUCCAAGGGCUAGAUUUGUCUAAUAACCAUCUCACGGGUGCAAUCCCUGUGGCAUUGGAGAAUCUUCACUUCCUUUCACGAUUCAACAUUUCUAACAACGACCUAGAAGGACCUAUUCCAGCAGAAGAGCAGCUGAGCACCUUCCAGGCGUCUAGCUUUGACGGGAACCCAAAGCUGUGCGGCUCUGUGCUUACUAACCAUUGCAGUUCAGUUGAAGCAGCUCCCGUCUCCAUCAUCCCUGCAAAACAAUGCAGCGAAAAGAUCAUCUUCGCGAUUGCAUUUGGUGUGUUCUUUGGGGUUGGGGUGCUAUAUGAUCAGUUAGUAUUAUUCAGAUAUUUUGGAUAA